GAGAAUUUUCUGGAUUACUAGCCACAGACUCUUUCCCUACCCUUAUUUUCUCUCAAAGAUACAGAGUCUUUCUCUCUGUUCUAAGCCACCUAAAGCUGGGAGAAGAAAGACACAAGCACCUCUGGCCACCACCACUAUGACUGCCCUGGAUCAGACCUGAAGCUAGCACAGCACAGGUCUUGCUCAAGUCCUGCUGCAUGCAAUUUCUGACGACUCCCUAUGUUCACUCAAGGCCUUUGGUC
rnacentral:lncRNA from 1 species